GGGUUGUGAGGUUAAGCGACUAAGCGUACACGGUGGAUGCCCUGGCAGUCAGAGGCGAUGAAGGGCGUGCUAAUCUGCGAUAAGCGCCGGUAAGGUGAUAUGAACCGUUAUAACCGGCGAUACCCGAAUGGGGAAACCCAGUGUGAUUCGUCACACUAUCAUUAACUGAAUCCAUAGGUUAAUGAGGCGAACCGGGGGAACUGAAACAUCUAAGUACCCCGAGGAAAAGAAAUCAACCGAGAUUCCCCCAGUAGCGGCGAGCGAACGGGGAGGAGCCCAGAGCCUGAAUCAGCAUGUGUGUUAGUGGAAGCGUCUGGAAAGGCGCGCGAUACAGGGUGACAGCCCCGUACACAAAAGCGCAUGUGCUGUGAGCUCGAUGAGUAGGGCGGGACACGUGGUAUCCUGUCUGAAUAUGGGGGGACCAUCCUCCAAGGCUAAAUACUCCUGACUGACCGAUAGUGAACCAGUACCGUGAGGGAAAGGCGAAAAGAACCCCGGCGAGGGGAGUGAAAAAGAACCUGAAACCGUGUACGUACAAGCAGUGGGAGCACCCUUUGGGUGUGACUGCGUACCUUUUGUAUAAUGGGUCAGCGACUUAUAUUCUGUAGCAAGGUUAACCGAAUAGGGGAGCCGGAGGGAAACCGAGUCUUAAUUGGGCGUUAAGUUGCAGGGUAUAGACCCGAAACCCGGUGAUCUAGCCAUGGGCAGGUUGAAGGUUGGGUAACACUAACUGGAGGACCGAACCGACUAAUGUUGAAAAAUUAGCGGAUGACCUGUGGCUGGGGGUGAAAGGCCAAUCAAACCGGGAGAUAGCUGGUUCUCCCCGAAAGCUAUUUAGGUAGCGCCUCGUGAAUUCAUCUCCGGGGGUAGAGCACUGUUUCGGCUAGGGGGCCAUCCCGGCUUACCAACCCGAUGCAAACUGCGAAUACCGGAGAAUGUUAUCACGGGAGACACACGGCGGGUGCUAACGUCCGUCGUGAAGAGGGAAACAACCCAGACCGCCAGCUAAGGUCCCAAAGUCAUGGUUAAGUGGGAAACGAUGUGGGAAGGCCCAGACAGCCAGGAUGUUGGCUUAGAAGCAGCCAUCAUUUAAAGAAAGCGUAAUAGCUCACUGGUCGAGUCGGCCUGCGCGGAAGAUGUAACGGGGCUAAACCAUGCACCGAAGCUGCGGCAGCGACACUGUGUGUUGUUGGGUAGGGGAGCGUUCUGUAAGCCUGCGAAGGUGGCCUGUGAGGGUUGCUGGAGGUAUCAGAAGUGCGAAUGCUGACAUAAGUAACGAUAAAGCGGGUGAAAAGCCCGCUCGCCGGAAGACCAAGGGUUCCUGUCCAACGUUAAUCGGGGCAGGGUGAGUCGACCCCUAAGGCGAGGCCGAAAGGCGUAGUCGAUGGGAAACGGGUUAAUAUUCCCGUACUUGGUGUUACUGCGAAGGGGGGACGGAGAAGGCUAUGUUGGCCGGGCGACGGUUGUCCCGGUUUAAGCGUGUAGGUGUGUGUUCCAGGUAAAUCCGGUUCACUUUAACACUGAGGCGUGACGACGAGGCACUACGGUGCUGAAGCAACAAAUGCCCUGCUUCCAGGAAAAGCCUCUAAGCAUCAGGUAACAUCAAAUCGUACCCCAAACCGACACAGGUGGUCAGGUAGAGAAUACCAAGGCGCUUGAGAGAACUCGGGUGAAGGAACUAGGCAAAAUGGUGCCGUAACUUCGGGAGAAGGCACGCUGACACGUAGGUGAAGUGAUUUACUCAUGGAGCUGAAGUCAGUCGAAGAUACCAGCUGGCUGCAACUGUUUAUUAAAAACACAGCACUGUGCAAACACGAAAGUGGACGUAUACGGUGUGACGCCUGCCCGGUGCCGGAAGGUUAAUUGAUGGGGUCAGCGCAAGCGAAGCUCCUGAUCGAAGCCCCGGUAAACGGCGGCCGUAACUAUAACGGUCCUAAGGUAGCGAAAUUCCUUGUCGGGUAAGUUCCGACCUGCACGAAUGGCGUAAUGAUGGCCAGGCUGUCUCCACCCGAGACUCAGUGAAAUUGAACUCGCUGUGAAGAUGCAGUGUACCCGCGGCAAGACGGAAAGACCCCGUGAACCUUUACUAUAGCUUGACACUGAACAUUGAGCCUUGAUGUGUAGGAUAGGUGGGAGGCUUUGAAGUGUGGACGCCAGUCUGCAUGGAGCCGACCUUGAAAUACCACCCUUUAAUGUUUGAUGUUCUAACGUGGACCCGUUACCCGGGUUGCGGACAGUGUCUGGUGGGUAGUUUGACUGGGGCGGUCUCCUCCUAAAGAGUAACGGAGGAGCACGAAGGUUGGCUAAUCCUGGUCGGACAUCAGGAGGUUAGUGCAAUGGCAUAAGCCAGCUUGACUGCGAGCGUGACGGCGCGAGCAGGUGCGAAAGCAGGUCAUAGUGAUCCGGUGGUUCUGAAUGGAAGGGCCAUCGCUCAACGGAUAAAAGGUACUCCGGGGAUAACAGGCUGAUACCGCCCAAGAGUUCAUAUCGACGGCGGUGUUUGGCACCUCGAUGUCGGCUCAUCACAUCCUGGGGCUGAAGUAGGUCCCAAGGGUAUGGCUGUUCGCCAUUUAAAGUGGUACGCGAGCUGGGUUUAGAACGUCGUGAGACAGUUCGGUCCCUAUCUGCCGUGGGCGCUGGAGAACUGAGGGGGGCUGCUCCUAGUACGAGAGGACCGGAGUGGACGCAUCACUGGUGUUCGGGUUGUCAUGCCAAUGGCACUGCCCGGUAGCUAAAUGCGGAAGAGAUAAGUGCUGAAAGCAUCUAAGCACGAAACUUGCCCCGAGAUGAGUUCUCCCUGAGACUUUAGGUCUCCUGAAGGAACGUUGAAGACGACGACGUUGAUAGGCCGGGUGUGUAAGCGCAGCGAUGCGUUGAGCUAACCGGUACUAAUGAACCGUGAGGCUUAACCUUACAACGCCGAAG
rnacentral:rRNA from 1 species